rnacentral:rRNA from 1 species
UUAGAGUUUGAUCCUGGCUCAGAACGAACGCUGGCGGCGUGCCUAAUACAUGCAAGUCGAACGAGAAAGUGGCUUCGGCCAUGAGUACAGUGGCAGACGGGUGAGUAAUACAUAGGCAACCUACCCUUAAGUUGGGGACAACCUUCCGAAAGGAGGGCUAAUACCGAAUGAGACCACAGUGGCUUCGGCCACCGAGGUUAAAGAUGGCCUCUAUUUAUAAGCUAUCACUUAGGGAUGGGCUUAUGCACCAUCAGCUUGUUGGUGAGGUAACGGCUCACCAAGGCUUUGACGGUUAGCUGAUCUGAGAGGUUGAUCAGCCACACUGGAACUGAGACACGGUCCAGACUCCUACGGGAGGCAGCAGUAGGGAAUAUUGCGCAAUGGACGAAAGUCUGACGCAGCGACGCCGCGUGGGUGAUGAAGGAUUUCGGUUCGUAAAGCCCUGUCGGAAGGGAAGAAAAACGAGGCGAAUAACAAGCGCCUCGCUUGUCGGUACCUUUAAAGGAAGCACCGGCUAACUACGUGCCAGCAGCCGCGGUAAUACGUAGGGUGCAAGCGUUGUUCGGAAUCAUUGGGCGUAAAGCGCGUGUAGGUUGUUAGUUAAGUCAGAUGUAAAAGCCCUCGGCUCAACCGGGGAAGUGCAUUUGAAACUAGCUGACUAGAAGACGGUAGAGGAAGGUGGAUUCCAAGUGUAGAGGUGAAAUUCGUAGAUAUUUGGAGGAUACUGUGGCGAAGGCGGCUUUCUGGACCGAUCUUGACGCUGAGACGCGAAAGCGUGGGUAGCAAACAGGAUUAGAUACCCUGGUAGUCCACGCCGUAAACGAUGGGUACUAGAUGUUGCGGGAAUUGACCCCUGCAGUGUCGACGCUAACGCAUUAAGUACCCCGCCUGGGAAGUACGGUCGCAAGAUUAAAACUCAAAGGAAUUGACGGGGGCCCGCACAAGCGGUGGAGCAUGUGGUUUAAUUCGAUGCAACGCGAAGAACCUUACCUGGGUUUGACAUCCCUAGACAGCCGUAGAGAUACGGUUUCCUCUUCGGAGGCUGGGAGACAGGUGCUGCAUGGCUGUCGUCAGCUCGUAUCGUGAGAUGUCGGGUUAAGUCCCUUAACGAGCGCAACCCCUAUCUUUAGUUGCCACCAUUCAGUUGGGCACUCUAGAGAGACCGCCGGCGUUAAGCCGGAGGAAGGCGGGGAUGACGUCAAGUCCUCAUGGCCCUUAUAUCCAGGGCUACACACGUGCUACAAUGGCCGACACAAAGGGUUGCCAACCAGCGAUGGGGAGCUAAUCUCAGAAAGUCGGUCUCAGUUCGGAUUGAAGUCUGCAACUCGACUUCAUGAAGCUGGAGUCGCUAGUAAUCGCGGAUCAGAACGCCGCGGUGAAUACGUUCCCGGGCCUUGUACACACCGCCCGUCACACCACGAAAGUUAGUCGCACCAGAAGUCGCUGUCCCAACCGUAAGGAGGGAGGCGCCCAAGGUGCGGCCGAUGAUUGGGGUGAAGUCGUAACAAGGUAACC